rnacentral:rRNA from 1 species
CACGUAGGGCGCAAGCGUUGUCCGGAAUUAUUGGGCGUAAAGAGCUCGUAGGCGGUCUGUUGCGUCCGCUGUGAAAACUCGGGGCUUAACCCCGAGCCUGCAGUGGAUACGGGCAGACUAGAGGUAGGUAGGGGAGAAUGGAAUUCCCGGUGUAGCGGUGAAAUGCGCAGAUAUCGGGAGGAACACCGGUGGCGAAAGCGCUCGUCUGGCCCAAUACUGACGCUGAGACGCGAAAGCGUGGGGAGCGAACAGG